CAUCACUCCAGAACUGCGGGUGUCCCAUGACUGGGCCAGGGUGGCCUGGGCCUUGCGGUCAGGAGCCACUGCUGUCAAUCCACAUCCUAAAAGGAUUUCUUCUCUCUCAGGUCCUGCCUGCAGAUCCCGGGAUGUACCCGGUCAAGUGACAAGCAUGGAAUGCUGUGCACACAAUAGACAUAAGAGGUGCUUAAAUAUUGACGGGA
rnacentral:lncRNA from 1 species